GACGAACGCUGGUGGCGUGCUUAACACAUGCAAGUCGAACGAUGAAGCCUUCGGGUGGAUUAGUGGCGAACGGGUGAGUAACGCGUGGGCAAUCUGCCCUGUACUUUGGGAUAAGCCUUGGAAACGGGUCUAAUACCGGAUAUCACUUCUGACCGCAUGGUUGGUUGUUGAAAGUUCUGGCGGUACAGGAUGAGCCCGCGGCCUAUCAGCUUGUUGGUGGGGUAAUGGCCUACCAAGGCGACGACGGGUAGCCGGCCUGAGAGGGUGACCGGCCACACUGGGACUGAGACACGGCCCAGACUCCUACGGGAGGCAGCAGUGGGGAAUAUUGCACAAUGGGCGAAAGCCUGAUGCAGCGACGCCGCGUGAGGGAUGACGGCCUCGGUUGUAAC
rnacentral:rRNA from 1 species